CGCUCCUUGUUAUUUUUAUAUAGGGAGUCGUUUCUGCUCAAUGAUGUGCGCAUUCAAUAGCAGCGGUAUAAGUGACCGUUCAAAGGUAGUGUAGUGAAAUGCCCUUUAAUUGGGGGCCAAUGAAUGGAUUGACAGGUCGAUAUUGUCUCAUUUGUGUUUAUUAGAAUUUAACUUCGAGGUGAAGAGGCCUUGGUGCUAUAAAGGGACGAGAAGACCCUGUCAAACUUUAAUUGAAGGCAGUUGGGUUUUAGUGGUUUAAAUUUAAAUUGUUUUGAUUUUAGUUGGGGAAACUGGACAGGAUAAAUACUUUCCAAGGAUAUUAAAUUUGAUGGUGUGGGAUCCAAAAGUUUUGAAUUUAGAAUAAGUUACUGCAGGGAUAACAGCGUAAUUCUUUUAAAGAGUUCUUAUUGAAAAAAGAGUUUGCGACCUCGAUGUUGAAUUGGAGCUGUCUUUCAGGUUGUAGCAGCUUGAGGAGUGGGUCUGUUCGCCCUUUAAUGUGUCC
rnacentral:rRNA from 1 species